rnacentral:piRNA from 1 species
UACUGCACGUAUGUCACAGGUGGUAUUAUU